rnacentral:rRNA from 1 species
CACCAGACUCCUACGGGAGGCAGCAGUGGGGAAUAUUGCACAAUGGGGGGAACCCUGGUGCAGCGACGCCGCGUGGGUGAAGGAGUACUUCGGUACGUAAAGCCCUAUCAGCAGGAAAGAAAAUGACGGUACCUGACUAAGAAGCCCCGGCUAACUACGUGCCAGCAGCCGCGGUAAUACGUAGGGGGCAAGCGCUAUCCGGAUUUACUGGGUGUAAAGGGAGCGUAGACGGCGAUGCAAGCCAGAUGUGAAAGCCCGGGGCUCAACCCCGGGACUGCAUUUGGAACUGUGUGGCUGGAGUGUCGGAGAGGCAGGCGGAAUUCCUAGUGUAGCGGUGAAAUGCGUAGAUAUUAGGAGGAACACCAGUGGCGAAGGCGGCCUGCUGGACGAUGACUGACGUCGAGGCUCGAAAGCGUGGGGAGCAAACAGGAUUAGAUACCCUCGUA